UGUCAUGAGUCUCACGGGUCCUCCUUCCUCUUCCACGCCACAAUACGUAUAUACAUACGUAAAUAGUGAACUCACAGCCAUCUAUAUUGUUGCCCUUUCUACAUACGUGUUAUAACCAGAGGUGGAAAAAGUACAGAAAAAUUGUAAUUAAGUAAAAGUACCUUUACUUUGCUAAAAUUCUACUCAGGUAAAAGUAAAAGUACCCAUCUAAAAAUCUACUCGAGUAAAAGUAAAGGAGUACUCAAUUUAAAAUAUACUUUGAGUAAAAGUUACAUAGUUACUUUUAAUUAUUUGAUGUAAAAAAAGUAAAACAAAUCACAAGUUAAAUAGUUUUUAAUGAACUAUUAUUUCACAUAAUAAUUUGGACCUUUCAGGCAGCAUUUGUUCAGACCACCCCAUAAAACAAGAGGCAUAGGUUUCUAUGAUCCAUUAUUUUUAAUACAGUUUAAAAAUACAGUUUAUAGUCAGCUAUAUGACCAUAACUUUUGUUAUGGUCAUAUAGGUGACUAUAAACUGUAUUUUUACAGUUUUACAGUUAAUGGUUAUAUUUUAACUUGCAAUUGCUAUGCUUUAUUGUUUAAUGAUAAAAAUACUUACAACCACAUGUUUUCUCAGGUUCAAUGUGGAAGUUUUGAAAGCUGAAAGCUCUGUUCGGCGGGGCACAUUUUGUAUUGCAUGGGGACGGGAGUUUUCCAAUGUAGCAAAGUAGAUUACUUAUGUCAAAAUGUACUUGAGUAAAAGUAAAAUUACUUAUUUUAAACACUACUUAAAAAAUUACAAAUUACUCAUAAAAUGUACUCAAUUACAGUAACUUGAGAAAAUGUAAUUCAUUACUUUCUGGUUAUAACUGAGUAUUAAUGAUUUUUAAGGCAUUCACAACCUAAUUAGUAACCAUUGAUAAACUAAUUAUAAACCAUUUAUAAACCCUUUAUAAAGGUAGUCUUAUUUUAAAGUGGUACCCACAUUUUGUGUAUUAAGUGAGUAUUUGAGUGUUUGUGUGUAAAUGGAUUUCCUCAGUAAACUGCUAAUUACUAUAUUCCUACUGUACAUGUAUAUACCUCCUUAUGUAACAUUUAAUAAAUUAUUUAUCUUUGACU
rnacentral:lncRNA from 1 species